rnacentral:misc_RNA from 1 species
CCGAGUGAGGGCCCUCUGGGUCCAACCUCCCACCCGUGUUUAUCAUACCUAGUUGCUUCGGCGGGCCCGCCGUCAUGGCCGCCGGGGGGCACUCGCCCCCGGGCCCGCGCCCGCCGAAGACCCCCCUGAACGCUGUCUGAAGAUUGCAGUCUGAGCGAUUAGCUAAAUCAGUUA